rnacentral:rRNA from 1 species
CGGAUCUCUUGGUUCUGGCAUCGAUGAAGAACGCAGCGAAAUGCGAUACGUAGUGUGAAUUGCAGAAUUCAGUGAAUCAUCGAAUCUUUGAACGCACAUUGCGCCCUUUGGUAUUCCAAAGGGCAUGCCUGUUCGAGCGUCAUUUGUACCUUCAAGC